rnacentral:lncRNA from 1 species
AACAGUGGUUUCGGGGCCACCAAAUCCGAACGAGUAGGUUGGUAAAUAUUAUAUUUAAUAUUUACGAGUUAAUUGUGAUUUUAAAAAUGUUUUUGAUAUUGUGAUUUUUGUUUUAUAAGCGAUUUAUUAAGUUCAAGUGGUAUGACCCUAAGGUCAAGUGGGUUUAGAAAAUGAGGUAUCGGGAUCUUGUUUCUAUAAAUCGAGUCGUAAAUAUUUUUAUAAAUAUUUACGUAGUGGCAAUAAGAUGGUAUUAAAGUUUCGUUGAACAAUUUUAUCGUUUCGAUAGUUAAUUAAACAAAAAGGACUAAAUUGUGUAAAGUGCAAAAGUUGUGUUCUAUAACCUAAAGGUAUUAAAUAGUUAUAGAACUUAAAAGUAGAAGUCCUUAUUUGGUAAUUAGCCCAUUAAAGAGAUAGUGGGAUAUGAUGGCUUGGCAUUUGGUGUAAUAAAUAAAGUGUAUAAAGGUUAAUAUUGUAAAUUGGUUAAAAAUAAUAAUAAAAUGAAUAUAAUAAAAGAAUCAAGGUGUCAUCUUUUUCAUUCUCUUUUUACCAGCCGAAUAUGAAGGCUUGAGAAGCCAUGGAAGAAGCUUCCAACUUUCAGCUAAUGCAUGGUAGGCAUUUCUAGUCCCAUUUUUAAUUAUUUUUAUAUUUUCGGGAUCGUUGUUGCUUAAUCUAUCUAAUGAGGGGACUAUUUUGCAAAACCAUUGAAUAGUUUGAUAUUUGCCAUUGAUGAGUAUAAUAGGGCUUUGAAGUUUAAUGGAAGAAUAUGAGUCCUUGUUGAUAGUUAAACACUUUUUGUUAAGUGAUUUUUUGUGAAAUUGACACUUAAGGGAUAAAUUGAUAAAUGUGAAAACUUUGUGGUUAAAAUGUCAAAUAAAUGAAAUGUGUGGGCUGCUAGAGACACUAGUGAUAUUUGUCUAUAGUAUGAUUUUACUCAAUUUCAUGAAUUUGCAUUUUUAUGAUAUAGGGACUAAAUUGUAAAGAAGUUGAAAUAUUAGGGGCAAAACUAUAAUUUUGCCAUAAAGUGAAUUAUGGACUGUUUUGAUACCAUGAACAUUGGCUAAGCUUAAUUAUGGUUAAAAAUGGUUAAUUUGCAUGUUUUGAGCUCAAGGACUAAAAUGAAUAAAAGUAAAACUUUAGGGGUAAUUUUGUAAAAAUGACAAAAAAGACCAAAUUGUAUGAAAUGAGGUGUUUUAAUGUUUAAAUUAAUAUACUGAAUGAAAUUAUUAAUUUAGAUCAAGAUCGGGUGGAAAAUUGAGAAAAAUGAGAAAAUUACCAAAAUGCCCCUGAACUUUGGUAUCUCUACAAUUUAGCCAGGUAAGUUCGUAUGCAAUAAGCAUUGUUAAAUUGAUGUUUCUAAUGCUUUAAUAUUGUAUAAAUUGUAUAUACGUGAUUAUUUUAAUGUCUGACGACAUAUCGACAAAAUGUGGCACUUAGUGUGCGGGGCAAUCAAAUAUGGUACUCAGUGUACGAAAUAUUGAGAAUGGCACUUAGUGUGCAAGAUAUUGAGAAUGACACUUAGUGUGCAAAAUAUCGAAUGAUUCAAAGGGAAAUUAUAAAUUGUGAUUGAAUGAUUAAAUAGAGCAAAGUGAACAGGUAUACAUGCUAUAUUAUAUGAAUUGUUUAUGAGACGACUUUAUAAUGGUGAUAUUUGAGCUUUGAACCUAGCAAGCUUUAAGCUGGUGAAUAAUAUUAUCGGGUUUAAAACCUAGCAGGCUAAAUGCCGGUGAUUUGAUAAAAGUCUAAGACUAUGAGACCUUGUGUUAAAUCGGCAAUUGAAUUUGUUCAAUGCAUUAAGUUGGCCAGGUAUGUGAUAUAUUCUUAUGCAUGUUAGAUCGAUUGGAAUUGAAUCAUGAAUGUGAAAUGAGAAGCAUAGUUGAAAAUGGCGAUGUCAUAUAUGUGAGUAAGGACAAAACCAUCGUAAAUUAUCGAUAAGGGUGGACUAUGUGCGGAAUCAUCUUAUAAUUGCUAAUUUGAACGGUUGUGUGCGAAUCAUUGAGCAUGAUGUAUUGUAUUGAGAUUAUGCUUGAGUGAAAUUAUAGAUAUGUGAUGAAAUUGAUUGGUGAUAUACAUGUUUAAAUAAUGUGAAUGUAAAGAAUGUGUGAAAGAGUAAAUUUGUAAUAAAUCUGCUUGGGAUAGCAGCAGUAACGUGAUUUUGGAAAAUCACCAUAAAUUUUUGGUGUUGAGUUAGAAGCUGAAUAAAUUAUGUAAUUAAAGCUUAAUGAGUCUAGUUUCUUAUAAAAGAAACCGUGUAAGAAAAAGAAUUGCUGAUAAUGAGAUAUUUGAAGUGGCGUGGAAUAGAGUCAAAUGACUUCGGGGUCCCCUGUUUUGUUUUUAUAAAAUCAUUAUAAUUUGUACAAAAAUGGUUAUAAGAUAAAAUUUAUAUGCUUAGACUCCUUAAUGAGUAGUUUCAAAUGAAAUCAAAUAGAACAUAUUUUGAAUUCUGUACAAUGAGAAAUUUGAUUCGUAGUGAAGAGUGGUCAGAUUAGUCAAACAGUGAAACAGGGGAAACUUUAAGAAAAAUCUGGUAUUGAUUGGCCAAACCUAAAAUUCUGAAAAUUUUAUGGAUGGAAGAUAUAUGAGUCUAUUUUCAGGGAAAAUUAACGAAAAUUGAUUUGGAGUUUUUUAGCUUCAGUUAUAAAUAAUUUAGUGACUAUUUCUCAGGAAGACAACUUGUAGUGAAUUUGUGAUUAUGUUGUAAACAUUGAUAAAACUUGUUAAUGAGUUGCUUAUUGUUUUCUUAUGAACUUACUAAGCGUAAAGCUUACUCCCCUUUUCUUUCCCAUAUUCCCUAGGGUUUCCAGGUUAGCUCCGGUUGGAGGCCGUCAGAGAUAUUAUCACAUUGUCAAGUCUACGCUAUCGGCGUAAGUAAAUCUUAGUGUUUCGAGUCUAUGGCAUGUAUAGGGUUGUAAAGGUGAGUAAGUAAAUGAUACAAGACUAAGAUAUUGGUAAAUAUUUAAUAAUGCCUCAUGAAUAUUUUGGGCUUUGUAAGCCCGAUUAAAGGAUAAUAUACGUGUGUAUGAAAAGUUUAAAUCUGGUAACACCUCGAACCUUGUUCCGGCGAAGGAUACGGGCGAAGGGUGUUACAUUUUAUUGGUAUCAGAGCCAUGGUUUAGUCGGUUCUAGGACUACCAUGACAUAUGUGAGUCUAACUGUACAUGCCAUAUUUGACCUACGAUAGUGUGAUAUCUCCUAACUCUGACGAAAAUUAUUUGAAUAGGACAGAUAAGUCUUUCAAUCAAGCUAAUUUUAAUAGUAUAGAAUAUGUACCCAGAUGUUCGAAUGAAAUUGUGUUCUAUACUGAUUUGAUUAAAUUAAAGUUGGCUCUGAAAUGUUUAAGUGUUCAUGAAUAUAUGAAUCCAAAGUUAAAUGAAAUGAUAUGUUCAAAGUGCACAUAUGUGAUGUUUUAUAGACUUGGUUAAGUCACUUCAAUGUGCAACAACAAGUGAACAUAGGCACUGUGUGUGUGAGUUCCGUAACCGAGCACUGUGUGUGCGAGAUCGGUUGUUGAGGCACUGUGUGUGCGAGUUCCGUAACUGAGCACUGUGUGUGCAAGAUCAGUUGUUGAGGCACUGUAUGUACGAGUUCCGUAACCGAACACUGUGUGUGCGAGAUCGGUUGUUGAGGCACUGUGUGUGCGAGUUCCGUAGCCGAGCACUGUGUGUGCGAGAUCAGUUGUUGAGGCACUGUGUGUGCGAGUUUCGUAACCGAGCACUGUGUAUGCGAGAUCGGCGCUGUGUGUGCGAGAUCGGUUGUUGAGGCACUAUGUGUGCGAGUUCCGUAACCAAGCACUGUGUGUACAAGAUCGGUUGUUGGGGCACUAAGUGUGUGAAAUGAGAUCAUGUAAGACCUCGUCUGAGACGAAGACAUUGAUUUGAAGUAGUGUAUAAGAACAUGUCUGGGACACUGGCAUCACUUAUGAUUCGUGUAAGACCCUGUCCGAGACAGUGGCAUCGAUAUUGAAUAAACUUGGUCAGAUGUAUGUAGUCCAUGUGAAAAUGAGACGUGAUAAAUAACAGAUAAAUAUAUGCUAUACGUGCUUGACAUGUGACCUUGUGGUUCCAUGAAUCAAACAGGGAAAAAUAUGACAUGUUUUGGUUGGUAUGUAUUGGAUAUGUGCAAGUUUUGUUCAUACGAAUGAAUUGACAGUUAUCACACGAAUUUAAAAUCAUAGUCAUAAGUUAUUAGUAAAUAUAAAUAAGUGAAGCUAUUUAAUAAGGUUAUAUGAACUUAAAAGUACUAUGACUGUAUAUGCAAUUGAGAUUAUUUUUCAAUUCGGAUUAGUGAUAUGGAAUUUUCAUAAUCAUUGAAAUGAUUUAUUUGCUUAAGGCUUACUAAGCUUUCAAAGCUUAUUCUGUGUGUUUUUCAUAAGACAGAUAUGCUUUCCAACCGAGCUAAUUCUGAUAAUACAGAAUGUUAUACUCAAACAUUUGAGUGAAAAUGUGUUGGUGAUGAGUUGAAACUCAUAAAAAGGUAUGAAUCAGAAUGCAUGAUAUUCUGCUAUUGAUAAAUGUUAUAAUUAUAUGAGUAUAUGAGUUGUGAUGUUGGGUAUAUGAUUGUUGUGUGAAUAUUUUGAUUUGGAAUUUAUGAUUUGAUUUAGCGUAUGAGCUAUGUGUUAAGUACCAAGUGAUCAUAAGUAAAUGAUUGCUAGAUGUUUGAGAAUACGAAAUUAGUAAUGAUCUGUUCGUUCAUAAUAGUAUGUGUGAUGUGCAUGCUUACGUAAGAGUUAAAAUUGUUGGCUUUACAACCCUUACCCCCUCAUUGGUAAAGCAUUAUAAUGAGAUCCGUACUAUAUGGCUUAAAUAAGCUUACAAGUGCGGAAUGACAGAGUUUCGUGAUUGAAGGAUUAGUAUUGUGAUCAGAUAAGAGAAUGAGUCCGCAAGUGAAGACAGCAACAGAAAAGAUAUUGGAUCGUGUUGAAGGCCAUUUGUAAUAUGCAAAGUCACUGUUAAAAGAAAAGUUGAAUUAGAUGAAACCAAAUAUUCAGGUAUGAUAUCUAAAGAAUAUAUUAACUGGAAGUUCUUCCGAAUUGGCCUCCGUUAGUGUUGGGAUAAUGAGAAAUUAGUGAUGUUAGAGAUAGACAGUAGAAUCAUAUUUGAAUUAUAAAGAUAUUUGAGCACAACAAUUAUAGUCGAAUGGUUUACGAAAACUCUUCUGGGUAUUCUAUGUGUUCAAUUAUCCUCAGAGGUAUGUGAAGCUGUAUAUUUUCAGAUGAAAUUCUUAUCAUAUGAGAACGUUAUCUAUAUAUAUUGAUAUAUGAAAGCAUUGUUGGGCUGUUCGGGUUACAAUCAGCAUUAUUAUAUCUUUCUCUGGUAUUCUAUUUCAUUUUAUUGAAAGAAAAGAUCGACGAUUAAAUCUAUGUGAUGUUGGUAUUUUGCUCCUAUUAGUUGUUGAUCUGCUUAGUAUACAUGAAGAUUAUAUUGUUUCUGUUACUGUUGAUUCCGGUGCAUAUGAGUGAUGCUUUACUUCUGGAUUUCCUCUGAAACAUCAUUGAGAUAUCUGUCAUUUGAUAUGGGUGCUUUCUUAAAAAAGAUUAGUAUAGUGAUAUAUUCGAGAAUUAAAGUAUCUCUGCUUUCUUAUGAUUCUAUAUGGUUAUCUGUGAAAAAUAUUUAUUGAAUGACUGUAACUAUAUUUCAAUUUCUCUUAUGUUCAAAAUGCAUUAUUGAUAAUUGGGACAUUAUAUGUCUAUACGGUUGAGAUGUCAGCCUUAUUAUGGCACUAUGAUUUUAAAUUAUCUGAUGGUUGUGGCUUCAGUAUGGUUCAAAGCUUCGUUGAUUAAUAAUUGAAAAGUUAUUACUUGACAGUCGAGAUCGAUUCAGUUGUCUAGUUUGAUUAGAUUAAUUGCUUGAAGGAUUAAUCGAGUUACUUGUAUCUGAAUCUAUCCACAGGGUGGAAAUAAAGUUUGAAUGUUCACGGAUAAAUAGAUGAAUAUUCUGAAUGCAUGAUUCAUAUUCUAGAAGAUAUGAUACAAAAUUAUAUCCAUCAGAACGAUUUUAUUGAGAAAUGUUCUUAUAGAUCGCGAUUGGGAAGUCUGAAUGAUGUGAUAAUUAUCAAUAAAGUGGUAAACAGUUGAAGAAAUUGUUAAUUGAAGCGUCAGUUCUCAGGUGAAGAGUUAUUCGACACAAGAAUUAAAGAUGGUUUGAACUGUUGAAAGAUUAUGAGUCAGCAAUUGAUUAUCAAUCUGGACAAAUGAUUAUAGUCUUUGGGGUUCUGAGCGAGAAUCUUUAUGUGUUUUACGGCCGAUAAUCAUGUGAUUAAUCUUAUCAAAUGAUGAGUAGUUAUUGGCUGAGCUUGAAACUAAAUUGAUGUUUAAUUAGCAAAUUUGUGAGGUUAAGAGGUGUGUCAGUGAAUUACAAGUUAAAAAGGGUACAACGUAAAUUGAUUUCUGAUUUAGAAUUUUAGAUUGGAACCUACAAUUGUUCGUUAUGUCGAGAUAGAGUUCGUGUAUUGAAAAAUCCAGAGAUUUUACAACAAUUGUGACAUCUAGCACAGUGGUAAUUAUCUGUCCGUACGAGGAGUACUAAAAGAGUGCUAGUUUUCAUUGUUCAAAUGGACACGAGGAUUAUAUCGUGUUACUAAAAUAAACUACUAUGAGCUUUGGGUAUGGAAUUACUUUGUAACACUGUGUUCUAGAACUUGAAAGCAACCGAAAAAGACAUUUAUUGUUGGUUAAGUUUGCUUAUAAUAAUAAUAGUUAUGAGAAGAAUGUUAAGAUAGCAUUGUAUGAGUGUGGUAUGGUUGCAAUUACUGAACUUCGUUGUAUUGAAUUGAAUUUUUAUAAAAAGAAUUUCGGGGUCGAUGUGAUUGGAAAGACUGAAGGGAAAUGAAAGUAAUUCAUGACCGUCUAAAAACAGUUUCAGAUUUGCAGAAAAUAUAUGUGGGCUUGAUGCGUAAAAGCAUUGAAUUUUCAAUUAGAAAAUUGAGUAUUUGUAAAGGUAUUAUAGUGGGAAUAGAAUUUCUAGAUUUAGCUAUAAAGAGAAGUUGAGUUCGCAGUUCAUCGGAUUGAAUGAGAUUAUUAUCAAAACUUGAGAAGACCCGUAAUGUGUUUUUUUAUAUAUAUGAUGUGAUGAUACAAAUAAGAUCCUUUAUCUAUAGUAUCUCUUACAGAAGUAGAAACUCAGCUUGUUAUGAUGUAUAGCAAAGAGCAGAUCAUAAUCUUAGCUCAUGAGAUUGAAAAGUUGAGAAAUCUGAGGCUAAGUGAGAAAUUGUUGAGGUUGGUGAAAGAAAAUCACUAACUUAUUCUCUGGCAAGAUUUUCGGGGACGAAAAUCCCUAAGGGGGGAGAGUUGUAACAGCCCGUUUUUUUAGGGUUGAUCGGAACAAUGGUUUCGGGGCCACCAAAUCCGAACGAGUAGGUUGGUAAAUAUUAUAUUUAAUAUUUACGAGUUAAUUGUGAUUUUAAAAAUGUUUUUGAUAUUGUGAUUUUUGUUUUAUAAGCGAUUUAUUAAGUUCAAGUGGUAUGACCCUAAGGUCAAGUGGGUUUAGAAAAUGAGGUAUCGGGAUCUUGUUUCUAUAAACCGAGUCGUAAAUAUUUUUAUAAAUAUUUACGUAGUGGCAAUAAGAUGGUAUUAAAGUUUCGUUGAACAAUUUUAUCGUUUCGAUAGUUAAUUAAACAAAAAGGACUAAAUUGUGUAAAGUGCAAAAGUUGUGUUCUAUAACCUAAAGGUAUUAAAUAGUUAUAGAACUUAAAAGUAGAAGUCCUUAUUUGGUAAUUAGCCCAUUAAAGAGAUAGUGGGAUAUGAUGGCUUGGCAUUUGGUGUAAUAAAUAAAGUGUAUAAAGGUUAAUAUUGUAAAUUGGUUAAAAAUAAUAAUAAAAUGAAUAUAAUAAAAGAAUCAAGGUGUCAUCUUUUUCAUUCUCUUUUUAC